CCCUUAGAUGUCCUGGGCCGCACGCGCGCUACACUGAUGCAUGCAACGAGUUUAUAACCUUGGCCUGAAAGGUCUGGGUAAUCUUUUGAACGUGCAUCGUGAUAGGGAUAGAUUUUUGCAAUUGUUAAUCUUGAACGAGGAAUUCCUAGUAAACGCGAGUCAUCAGCUCGCAUUGAUUACGUCCCUGCCCUUUGUACACACCGCCCGUCGCACCUACCGAUUGAAUGGUUCGGUGAAGAUCUCGGACUUCGAUAUUUAUUCUUUAUUGAGUUUAUAUUGUGGGAAGUUAUCUAAACCUCAUCAUUUAGAGGAAGGUGAAGUCGUAACA
rnacentral:rRNA from 1 species